UAGACAGUACUUACUCGACUCCCAAGAUGUAAGGCUGCACGGUGAGGUAGGAGUGUCAUCCCUGUCUGAGAGACAAAAACAUAGUUGACGCCUUGACGAACAAAAUAAUCACGGCAUUUCAUUCCAUCUACCUGUCGAGUUCCACGUGUCCUCGCCUUCUUCACAGUCUCCGCUGUUGGGUCUUCUGCCCACACCUGCAGAAUACCUUUUCUUCUUGCGACUGCCUGAAUGGGAACUGUGACUAUUUCCCAAAUGGAUCCCUAAACGCACAGAAAUGAAUAAAUACGUAUAAUUCUAAAACAAGUCGUAAUUUAGGUCGGUGCCGGCUCGGUAUUUGUGGUCGCUUACUGUACGAAAGUAUCUUUACGUAAAAAUUUUAAUACAUGUUCAUUUGGAACUUGUUUUAUUGUGCAUGUGUCCUUAAUGUUGUGACCAAUGAGAGUAUAGUUGGCACACCUGUAUUUUGGACCUCCACACCAUCCUGUACGCUUUUGUUAGGGUUGCUGUCAAUUAUGGUGAAGGCCGUGUACAUGGAGACGAUGUUACAAUGCUUACUGGUUUGGAUGGCCUUCACACGGUACCGCUUAGCUGAACCUACAGACAUACAUUGUGAGUAUACUUGCACGUAUACAGUAUGGAUAUUAUCUAGCCAUUCAUUUUCAACAGAGCUUGUCCUCAUAAGGCUGACACCAGCUGUUGUGCAUGCUUUUGAAAUGUGGAAAGAAGCUAGAGUACCCAUAGAAAAUACAUGCAAUGUAUGUUAUUGUUGUAUUUUAAAACAUAUAUUUAUGUAUGUAGUUUAAACUCAACCAUGUCCUUUUUGGUCCUCCCUUUCGGACAUUUUCUCAAAGUCUCUUAUGACAGAACGAGCCGUCAGCUGGUGUAUGAUCUCGUCCCAAGAUUCCCUCUCUCUUCCCCCUCCUUGACUUCUGCAUCCUUCCCCCACUCUUGCCCUCUGGUCCUCAGGGAGCAAGAGGUGGGCCAGGUUCACCGUGGCCUCCCACAUUACAGGUCUGCCGCAAAGAAGGCCGUGAAUGAGGGAGCGGCAUUGGCCCGGUUGAGGAUCUUCCAGUGGAACUGCAGUGAAUAGGUAGUCGGGGUCUGUGAAGUUGUCCCAGUCCAGAGGAGAGGCGGGAAAAAGGAGUCCACCUGUCGGGUGGGAGGGACAAAGAAAUGAAGCGGUACCUCGACUUACGAUAUGAAGGGAAGAAGGAAAGGGAUAAUUCUUGUCAACUCACUGGAAUCAUUAAGACUUCUGCGGGACAGUGUCUCUGGUGGCUUUGCCUCCCCGUCACUUUCAUCCAGCCUUCCUCCCAGAGUUUGGUCGAAGGAGACCCUUUCCAGAGCUCUCCUAAGGCGAUGCAUCUCCAUCUCACCCUGCGGCGAUGAGAAGCUUCUCGCUGCCAUGGUGGAACGGGCCAGUGAUUUUUGUCUCCAAUGUGGGCCGUCGCUACAAGACAAGUGUACAUUCUGGAGAGGAAAAAGCGCAAUUCCGUCAGCUGAGAGGUUCUGCUGCCAUGCCGAGUCAGCCCAGCGAGACAAAGAUGACCGCGGUUCUGGACCAGUUAUCUUCUCAAGGCCUUGAGGUAAGGAUCCCGUGUCCAGUAGCAGAGCAGACGGCAUAGGGUCAGGCAGACAGGCCCGGCUCGUUGUGUCACUACUUGAAGAGGCCUGUACGUGUGUGGGGAGACUCCGCUCACUACUGAGUGAGCAGCGGGUCAGGAUGUACUGCUCCUGAAUGUAGGAGCUCUCCUGGAUCCUCGUCCUCACGUCGCUUGACCAGUCUAACGCUCCACCUGUAGAGCGCAUAUAAGGCAAGUGUUAACCACGGUGGAGGGUUUGAUUAACCUCAAAUUCUGUGGAAACUUUCCAUCGCAAUUGACGAAAUGGAAGGUUAGAUCAUAAUUGAGAACUUAGAUAUUGUUUUGCAUAAUCUUGAUUCCUGCCUACAGCACCCAAAUUUCAUGCUAGUACACUAGUACCUUGACUUGCGUAUUAUCCGUAUUACCUUUGUAUAAGUGUACAUAUUAUAAAAAUUGUAUUUUGCAAAAUGUUCAUUCUUGAAUGUAGUACCUUUCCACUAAACCUCCUUAAUUCCCAGUAAUUUUCAUAACUUCCAUGGAAAGUUUAAAACAUUUUCAAAAUUAUCCAUCCUCUCAUGCAAUUAAGCUGGAAAAUAUCCACUUGUUUGUAACACUCGGAGCAAUGCAAUGUUUUUCGUUGCGACUGGCCUGCACAGGUGUCCGGGUCCGCGUCUUUGGCACAGGAGAACUCUGAGGAGAUUUCUCUGGAAAUUUCCCUCAACGCCUCCUCCAGGUCGUUCCCUUCUGGACAAGUCACCGCAGGCAUGAGCUCAGAAGUCGGAGGUGAGAUGUCGUCAUUUGACGGGCAAAAAACAGAACCCAUGGAGGUGUUGUGUAUACCCUUGUUGUCCCUCUGAAACAUAUAGGUGGCAGCGUUUCAGACCUUGGGCUGAAGUCUUUCCUCAUCUUCCAAAAACUCCGCAGUACCUCCUGUCAGUUUGGCAACGCCCUGCAGGAGUCGCCUGCAAGCUCGGGAGCCGAGGCCCAAGCCAAAGCAUCUGCAGGGAUGCUGGAGCUCCCGCAGCAGUGCCAUUCCCGGCCUUCAGAAGUACCUGGGCAGCAGUCCAGGCAGCAGUCCUUCAGCUUGCCUCGGUUCUGGAUCUGGACUCCCAUCAGACGCCCCGCAAUGGCCGCCUCAAAGCCAACCACAACCUCCUUUUCGCCGAGAGGGUACACAAACACACCUGCGUAGA